rnacentral:rRNA from 1 species
GACGAACGCUGGCGGCGUGCUUAACACAUGCAAGUCGAGCGGUAAGGCCCUUUCGGGGGUACACGAGCGGCGAACGGGUGAGUAACACGUGGGUGACCUGCCCUCAGCUCUGGGAUAAGCCUGGGAAACCGGGUCUAAUACUGGAUAUGACUCCAUGACGCAUGUUGUGGGGUGGAAAGCCUUGUGCGGCUGAGGAUGGGCCCGCGGCCCUAUCAGCUUGUUGGUGGGGUGAUGGCCUACCAAGGCGACGACGGGUAGCCGGCCUGAGAGGGCGACCGGCCACACUGGGACUGAGACACGGCCCAG